UACGGGGGUGGCAAGCGUUGUUCGGAAUUACUGGGCGUAAAGGGCGCGUAGGCGGGGAGGUAAGUCGGGUGUGAAAUCCCCGGGCUUAACCUGGGAACUGCGCUUCUAACUGGCAGGCUUGAGUGUGGCAGAGGGGGGUGGAAUUCCACGUGUAGCAGUGAAAUGCGUAGAGAUGUGGAGGAACACCGAUGGCGAAGGCAGCCCCCUGGGCUAACACUGACGCUCAUGCACGAAAGCGUGGGGAGCAAACAGG
rnacentral:rRNA from 1 species